AUGAUCCACACUAUGUCACUCAUUCACGAUGAUUUACCUUGUAUGGACAACGACGACCUCCGCCGCGGAAAACCUACCAACCACAAAAUCUACGGCGAGGACGUCGCCGUCCUCGCCGGAGACUCCCUCCUCGCCUUCGCCUUCGAACACAUUGUCAACUCCACGGCCGGAGUCACCCCGUCCAGAAUCGUAGGCGCUGUUGCGGAGUUAGCUAAGUCCAUCGGAACCGAAGGACUGGUCGCCGGACAAGUAGCAGACAUAAAAUGCACCGGCAACGCUAGCGUCUCUCUAGAAACGCUGGAAUUCAUCCACGUACACAAAACGGC
rnacentral:lncRNA from 1 species